GGGGCAGCACGAUGUAGCAAUACAUUGGUGGCGACCGGCGCACGGGUGAGUAACGCGUAUGCAACCUACCUAUCAGAGGGGAAUAACCCGGCGAAAGUCGGACUAAUACCGCAUAAAACAGGGGUUCCACAUGGAAAUAUUUGUUAAAGAAUUAUCGCUGAUAGAUGGGCAUGCGUUCCAUUAGAUAGUUGGUGAGGUAACGGCUCACCAAGUCCACGAUGGAUAGGGGUUCUGAGAGGAAGGUCCCCCACACUGGUACUGAGACACGGACCAGACUCCUACGGGAGGCAGCAGUGAGGAAUAUUGGUCAAUGGGCGAGAGCCUGAACCAGCCAAGUCGCGUGAAGGAUGAAGGAUCUAUGGUUUGUAAACUUCUUUUAUAUGGGAAUAAAGUGAGGAACGUGUUCCUUUUUGUAUGUACCAUAUGAAUAAGCAUCGGCUAACUCCGUGCCAGCAGCCGCGGUAAUACGGAGGAUGCGAGCGUUAUCCGGAUUUAUUGGGUUUAAAGGGUGCGUAGGUGGUUAAUUAAGUCAGCGGUGAAAGUUUGUGGCUCAACCAUAAAAUUGCCGUUGAAACUGGUUGACUUGAGUAUAUUUGAGGUAGGCGGAAUGCGUGGUGUAGCGGUGAAAUGCAUAGAUAUCACGCAGAACUCCGAUUGCGAAGGCAGCUUACUAAACUAUAACUGACACUGAAGCACGAAAGCGUGGGGAUCAAACAGGAUUAGAUACCCUGGUAGUCCACGCAGUAAACGAUGAUUACUAGCUGUUUGCGAUACACAGUAAGCGGCACAGCGAAAGCGUUAAGUAAUCCACCUGGGGAGUACGCCGGCAACGGUGAAACUCAAAGGAAUUGACGGGGGCCC
rnacentral:rRNA from 1 species